rnacentral:rRNA from 1 species
GAUGAACGCUGGCGGCGUGCCUAAUACAUGCAAGUCGAGCGAACGGACGAGAAGCUUGCUUCUCUGAUGUUAGCGGCGGACGGGUGAGUAACACGUGGAUAACCUACCUAUAAGACUGGGAUAACUUCGGGAAACCGGAGCUAAUACCGGAUGAUAUUUUGAACCGCAUGGUUCAAAAGUGAAAGACGGUCUUGCUGUCACUUAUAGAUGGAUCCGCGCUGCAUUAGCUAGUUGGUAAGGUAACGGCUUACCAAGGCAACGAUGCAUAGCCGACCUGAGAGGGUGAUCGGCCACACUGGAACUGAGACAAGGUCCAGACUCCUACGGGAGGCAGCAGUAGGGAAUCUUCCGCAAUGGGCGAAAGCCUGACGGAGCAACGACGCGUGAGUGAUGAAGGUCUUCGGAUCGUAAAACCCUGUUAUUAGGGAAGAACAUAUGUGUAAGUAACUGUGCACAUCUUGACGGUACAUAAUCAGAAAGCCACGGCUAACUACGUG